rnacentral:rRNA from 1 species
AAAUGACUGUACCCGAAUAAGAAGGUCCGGCUAACUUCGUGCCAGCAGCCGCGGUAAUACGAAGGGACCUAGCGUAGUUCGGAAUUACUGGGCUUAAAGAGUUCGUAGGUGGUUGAAAAAGUUAGUGGUGAAAUCCCAGAGCUUAACUCUGGAACUGCCAUUAAAACUUUUCAGGCUAGAGUAUGAUAGAGGAAAGCAGAAUUUCUAGUGUAGAGGUGAAAUUCGUAGAUAUUAGAAAGAAUACCAAUUGCGAAGGCAGCUUUCUGGAUCAUUACUGACACUGAGGAACGAAAGCAUGGGUAGCGAAGAGGAUUAGAUACCCUCGUAGUCCAUGCCGUAAACGAUGUGUGUUAGACGUUGGAAAUUUAUUUUCAGUGUCGCAGCGAAAGCGAUAAACACACCGCCUGGGGAGUACGACCGCAAGGUUAAAACUCAAAUGAAUUGACGGGGACCCGCACAAGUAGUGGAGCAUGUGGUUUAAUUCGAAGAUACGCGCAGAACCUUACCAACACUUGACAUGUUCGUCGCGACUCUAAGAGAUUAGAGUUUUCGGUUCGGCCGGACGAAACACAGGUGCUGCAUGGCUGUCGUCAGCUCGUGUCGUGAGAUGUUGGGUUAAGUCCCGCAACGAGCGCAACCCUCACUUUUAGUUGCCAUCAUUAAGUUGGGCACUCUGAAAGAACUGCCAGUGAUAAGCUGGAGGAAGGUGGGGAUGACGUCAAGUCCUCAUGGCCCUUACGUGUUGGGCUACACACGUGCUACAAUGGUAUCUACAACAGGAAGCAAGACUGCGAGGUCAAGCAAAUCCUUAAAAGAUACCUCAGUUCGGAUUGCACUCUGCAACUCGAGUGCAUGAAGCUGGAAUUACUAGUAAUCGUGGAUCAGCGUGCCACGGUGAAUGCGUUCCCGGGUCUUGUACACACCGCCCGUCACACCAUGGGAGUUGGUUCUACCUUAAGGCAAGGUUUCAAACCCUUGACCACGGUAUAGUCAGCGACUGGGGUG